rnacentral:tRNA from 1 species
GCCUGGGUGGCUUGGUUGGUUAAGCGUCUGACUUCGGCUCAGGUCAUGAUCUCAUGGUCCGUGAGUUCAAGCCCCGCGUCGGGCU